rnacentral:rRNA from 1 species
GGAAGUAAAAGUCGUAACAAGGUUUCCGUAGGUGAACCUGCGGAAGGAUCAUUACAGAGUUAGGGUCUUUCAGGCCCGACCUCCCAACCCCAUGUUUACUCAACCUUUGUUGCUUCGGCGGACCCGUCUCCACGGCCGCCGGAGGGCCGUCACACGCCCUCUGGCCAGCGUCCGCCGAUGGCCUACACACAAAAACUCUGAACAAAUCGUGUCGUGUCUGAGUAUUACAAAAAAUUAAAGCAAAACUUUCAACAACGGAUCUCUUGGUUCUGGCAUCGAUGAAGAACGCAGCGAAAUGCGAUAAGUAAUGCGAAUUGCAGAAUUCCAGUGAGUCAUCGAAUCUUUGAACGCACAUUGCGCCCUUUGGUAUUCCGAAGGGCAUGCCUGUUCGAGCGUCAUUAUCAACCCUCAAGCCCCCUUUGGCUUGGCUUUGGACGGCCUGGUCAGGCGACUGACCCCUCCUAAAGACAAUGACGGCGGCGUCGUGGGACCCCCGGUACACUGAGCUUCUUAACUGAGCACGUAUCGGAUUGAGGGACCCCGGGCCACGGUCUCCUCUCUUCCCCGCGUGGAAGAGA